rnacentral:tRNA from 1 species
UAGCUCAGUCGGUUAGAGCGUGGGUCUAAUAAGCCCAAGGUCGCAGAUUCGACCCCUGC